CAUAUUUAACAUAAUUUAUUUUGGUCAAAAUAAGAGCUCUUUCCAUUUCCUGACUUUACCGUGUUUCUCGUUGUGGGCGGGACGUGAGCUCGCAGCAGCUGUGAUCAAUUCUCUGCUGAAGUUUGCAGCAACAAUCAGUGAUGGAAAACCUGGAGGUUGAAGUUCUGGAGUCAAAUAAACCCAAAUGUUUCAUUUUGUCUCAUAGAAAUUCAUUGAUGGCCCAAAUGAGAAAGACUCAGGGGACUCAUAUAAUAAUAAUGUUGUAUGGCCUGUCCAUCACAAGGGCAGAUGAAAACAUUUCAUUUGUAGAAAUUUACAAUAGAAAAUGUUAAAUAUUUGUCUUUUUAUAACCAAUCUUUUAUAGUAAAUAGAGACUUUUCCUGAAAAACUAACGGAUCUUUCUGGAGAAUCUCUUUAGACACUUUGUCUCCUGCAGAACAACAACCUUCCUCUGAUGACAUCACUAGAGGCGACCAAUCAGAGCCCUUUAGAAUAAACCGUUUGUAGAUUUCUCCUUUGUUCUCAUGUUUUGAACCAAUUUCAAAGAGACGUGUUUCCUUGUUUUGUUUCCUUGUUUUGCUGCAGCAACACUCUAGAAAAUAUCACCCUGUGGAUAAACAGCAUGAUGUUUAUGAAGCUAGAUAUGUCUGUGAAUGUUACUGAAUGUCCUUGAACCCCAUCAUGGUAGAGAAACUCGUGACUUCCUGUAAAUGAGGAAGGGAGGGCCUCAUGUUUCACAAGGAGCAGGAAGUGAAGAGAAACUCUGAAGAACAAGUGAAUUAAAUCAAGUCUCUCACAGUUGAAGGUGAUGCUGAUGUUCAGCCUGAAGUUUUUACUGGUUCUUCUUCAUGAUCUGGUCUCUGAGGUUCUGACUCUCAGCAGAACAUCUUCCUCUAAACCAGAUCUGGACCUGAACGGUUCCAGAACCGCUGCUCUCUAACAGGAGCCGCUCCAACAUGGCAACAAGCCGCUGAGUUCAGGACCAACACUUCACUGCUUCAUAGGAAAUGUUCACUCCUUCAUUCACUACAUCUGACCUCAGUCUGGAUGUUUCUACAGACCUGGAACAGGAUCCAGUUCAGACCUGGAAACAGCAUCAUGGAGGAGUGGACGACUCAAAGUUAUCAAGUUUAUUAGCAUAAGACAUUACAGCAACUGGGCAGUUUAAAGUUUUACAUAAUAAACAAAAAAGCAACAUUACAUUAUAGUGGAAAAAUAAAGAAAA